GGGGAAUACGGGUGGAACCACCGACUAAAACAAUCUCGUUGACGGAGGCCUUGUCGACCUUGGAGUCACGGAGAACACGCUCGACGGGCUCCAUGGUUUUACGGAAGAGAUCGGCGCAAAGCUCCUCAAAACGGGCACGAGUAAUGGAGGUGUAGAAGUCAAUACCCUCGAACAAAGAGUCAAUCUCAAUGCUAGCUUGAGCAGAAGAAGAAAGAGUACGCUUAGCACGCUCACAAGCGGUACGAAGACGACGGACAGCACG